rfam:Triticum aestivum genome assembly, contig: Triticum_aestivum_CS42_TGACv1_scaffold_404449_5BL
AUGGUACUCCUUCUGUCCGGAAAUACUUGUACUAGAAAUUGAUAAAAUGAAUGUAUCUAUAACUAAAGUAAGUCUAGAUACAACCAUUUCUAGGACAAGUAUUUCUGGACGGAGGGAGUACCAG